GCGUGUGUGAGCGAGAGCGAUUGUCUGAGUGAAUGUGUGAAAGCAUGUGUGUUUUAUUUAUUUAUUUUAAUGUAAAAACCUACACACUGAUCUUAUUUGAUCUGGUCAGAGUUUGGCUCUGCUCCGACCGGAAAUGAUAGGAAACGCGCUGGCGAGCCCCCGCGGCCAUGAGACGCCGGCGACCAAAAUCGAAAGGGCCGCCACGCUUCGUGCUGUGGUCAGAGAUGAUGAAUUGAUCAGAUAUACUAGUUCUUUGUGAGCUUGCGGUUCGCCUCAGGUUUCACGCAGGACAAUGAGUAUAGAGGCGAUUCUGAUCUAA
rfam:Oryzias latipes DNA, chromosome7, strain: Hd-rR.